GACGAACGCUGGCGGCGUGCUUAACACUUGCAAGUCGAACGGAAAGGCCCUGCUUUUGUGGGGUGCUCGAGUGGCGAACGGGUGAGUAACACGUGAGUAACCUGCCCUUGACUUUGGGAUAACUUCAGGAAACUGGGGCUAAUACCGGAUAGGAGCUCCUGCUGCAUGGUGGGGGUUGGAAAGUUUCGGCGGUUGGGGAUGGACUCGCGGCUUAUCAGCUUGUUGGUGGGGUAGUGGCUUACCAAGGCUUUGACGGGUAGCCGGCCUGAGAGGGUGACCGGCCACAUUGGGACUGAGAUACGGCCCAGACUCCUACGGGAGGCAGCAGGGGGGAAUAUUGCACAAUGGGCGGAAGCCUGAUGCAGCAACGCCGCGUGCGGGAUGACGGCCUUCGGGUUGUAAACCGCUUUCGCCUGUGACGAAGCGUGAGUGACGGUAAUGGGUAAAGAAGCACCGGCUAACUACGUG
rnacentral:rRNA from 1 species